rnacentral:miRNA from 1 species
UGAAACUAAUUUCUUCUCUCA